GUUCUUGAGUUACCCAUGAGUUUAAUUCGCCACUCUAGGAAAAAUAAGCUAGCGUUCCGAAGGCAGUGGCAUGGAAAACUAGGGUCCUGGAAAUGCUGACCUAGAACCACGGUCCAGAAAACGCAGCUUCCUCUAUUGCAGGGACUGGGGCAUACUUCUGCUCACAGAGAGAGAAUACUGUGAUUUGAAACCAGAUAGCUCAGCGCCAGAGGCCUCUGCGGAAGGGAUACAUACCAACCCUAUCCCCACACUCGUGGAUGGAGGCUACCGGUGAAGUUUGCCCAAUUAGAUAUAAGAUGCGUGAGAUACAUGGGUCAGAGAGGAAGGGGGCCCACUGAGAAUGCUUUUGAAUAGGGCCCAGACUUUUGUGCUACACCCCUGGCUGCAAAGGACUAAAUGGUAGACGUGUGUAAUAACUCAUUUCAUCUGGAAAGGUACUUUAUGACACAUCGCUUCA